rnacentral:sRNA from 1 species
UGUUUGCACUUAGCGGGAAGGGUAAGAACCUUCGACUAAGGUUCGACUCGAGCGCCAGCGAGAGAACGUUGCCAAGGGCAACGGCCCGAAGGGCGAGGAGCGAUAGCGACGAGUUAUCCUUCCCCCACCACCA